rnacentral:lncRNA from 1 species
CCAAUUCAUCCGCCUCCCCACCCUCUCUCUCUAUCUAUCUGUUUUCCCCUCUCUCUAGAAUAAAACCGUUGCCCUUCCAUUGUUUUCCCACUCCGAUGGACGGCUGUUGCCGCCGCCCCACCACUUUUCUUCCUCCUCUCUUCCCUCCAUCUCCCAGCCACCGGCGAUUAGUGCUGCCACCAUCACACCGCUGUCAUCGCCCUUCACUUUCAUCACCGCCUCCGUGUCACCAACCGCCAUGCAAUGCCGCCGGACGCCGACCAACUCACCUCUUUCUCCAUGUUGUCACUCGUAUCCUUUCCUAGCGCCACCAACAAUGACAACAAUAUCACCAGCCGAGGACACCGGUCAACAACUAAGGAAACCCGUCGCCCCCCGUUCUCCGCAUCUCUACCACCGAUCAGCCCCAAAACCCUUCUUCCGUCGCCACUUCACGACCAUGCAGUCACAAUUUUAUACUAUUUUGUCUCACUAUUGAUCAUGAUCGGUGAGGUAUCGAUUGGCAAACCCUCUGACUAUAUUUGAUCGAUAGACACCAUCACACGUUCUGUCCAUUUUAAUUUCAUAUUAGUCUUUGUUAAAUCUUACACUCCGUGGUCUGAAAUCAACUAACUCGGCUGAUGUUAUUGAUUUUUGUAAUUCGGGUUUAUUAGAUCUCACAUGCAUGAAGUUGGUGAUACUUAACUAGGUUACUGGUUGUUUUUCUAUCUCUUGAAAUCACUAUAUUCUAUUUGAUUCAUUUGACAUUAAUAAACUGCACACCUAGUUUUUGCGGCAAAUGAUUAACCUUGUUUUUAUUACUCUGGACCAAAGAUUAUGGAACUGAUGGCACAUGUAAUUUGGAUGACUUGAUGAUUUGAAUUGAUUGGAUGCAUAAUCAACGUUAGUGAUUAAGGAACAUGCUUAUAUGAUUAGUUGUCUUUCUAUUUUUAUUUUAUUUUAUUUUAUUCUUUUACGGUAAUAAGCAGUCCUUUCUAACAACAUCAACAUUUUUCAUAUGCCUAUUUGUGGUAAGCACAUAAUUGGUGUGCCCGAUUGAAAUAUAAUUGAUUUACUUAAUGGAUGUUUUCCUUUUAUUUGCUUUGAGUAAAUUUGUUAUUAUAUAAGUGUGAUUUUAUAUUUAUGGAAAACUCCAUUGAUUGGCUUCAUCAAAUAUUCUCCUCUUCCUUAAUUAAUUCUGAUUGAUUUUUUGAAUAUCUUUAUCCUUUUCUGUUGCUACUAAUUAACACUCAUGUAUUUUCUUUCCUUUCAUUCCCCAGUACCCCUCUGCUAUAUAAACAAUCCUUCUUUUCAAAUUAAGAGACAGUUCUUGAAAAAUAAAACACUCCCUAUAAGAAAAUCACUAGCUAUUUUGAUUACAUAUUCUUAAAAGUCCUUUGAUUUUCUUGAAGGCUUACUGGAAUCUAAGCAUAUUAUUCUUACAAGUGCUUGUCUUCAUUAUUUUUAUUAUUUCUUUUAUUACUGCUUAUCGGUAAGUAUCUAAACGAUGUGGUUUAAUUACUUAUUUGUUCAUGGAAUGUUGUUAACGUGUUAGAAAGCACGUUCAUAGGGACUCCGCUUUGUUGUGUUUGUCAUGUCAUUGUUUGGUCACUAUGUGUAUGGAAUCAUGCUAUGAUAUCUUAGUUGUCUCCCCUUUGCCGUGUUGUUUCUCUACAGGUCGGGAUUAUUUGAAGAGUCGUCGGGUGUUAAACAUAAUAUGUUAUUUCUUAUAGCUGCUGUUUUCCUUUCUUAUUUUUUUUAUCAUUUGAUUUGUAACAUUAUUGUAAAGACGUUAUAUUGAUGUAAUAAUAAAUUUUGGGGACUGCUUCGGGAGGCAGAGGUUUACAUGCUCUAUGAAUAGUGUA